rnacentral:rRNA from 1 species
GAUGAACGCUGGCGGCGGGCCUAAUACAUGCAAGUCGAGCGAACGAAGGAGGCUCGCUCUUUGCUUCUGUUAGCGGCGGGCGGGUGAGGCACACGUGUAUAACCGACCUAGAAGACUAACAUAACUUCGGGAGCCCGGAUCUCGUACCCGAUAAUAUGUUGAACCUCAUGGUUCAACAGUCCUAGAGCGUCUUGCUGUCACUUAUACGGAUAUCCGCGCUGCAUUAGCUAGUUGGUAAGGUAAAGGCUUACCAAGGCAACGAUGCAUAGCUGACCUGAGAGGGUGAUCGGCCACACUGGAACUGAGACACGGUCCAGACUCCUACGGGAGGCAGCAGUAGGGAAUCUUGCGCAAUGGGCGAAAGCCUGACGCAGCAAUGCCGCGUGAGUGAUGAAGGUCUUCGGAUCGUAAAACUCUGUAAGUUGGGAAGAACGUAUGUGUAAGUAACUGUGAACAUUUUGACGGUACCAAAUCAGAAAGCACCGGCUAACUACGUG